UACGUAGGUGGCGAGCGUUGUCCGGAUUUACUGGGCGUAAAGGGCGUGCAGGCGGUUUGUUAAGUGCAGGGUGAAAGCUCCCGGCUCAACUGGGAGAGGUCCUUGCAUACUGGCGAACGCGAGGGAGGCAGAGGAAAGUGGAAUUCCCGGUGUAGUGGUGAUAUGCGUAGAUAUCGGGAGGAACACCUGUGGCGAAGGCGGCUUUCUGGGCCUUACCUGACGCUGAGACGCGAAAGCGUGGGGAGCGAACCGG
rnacentral:rRNA from 1 species